rnacentral:rRNA from 1 species
UACGUAGGGACCGAGCGUUGUCCGGAUUCAUUGGGCGUAAAGAGCUCGUAGGCGGCCACUCAAGUCGAAUGUGAAACCUCGAGGCUUAACCUCGAGCCUGCAUUCGAUACUGGGCGGCUAGAGUCUGGUAGGGGGAUCUGGAAUUCCUGGUGUAGCGGUGGAAUGCGCAGAUAUCAGGAGGAACACCUAUAGCGAAGGCAGCUUGCUGGGACGAUACUGACGCUAAGGCUCGAAAGCGUGGGGAGCGAACAGG